rnacentral:rRNA from 1 species
AAGCUGGAAUUGCUAGUAAUGGCAGGUCAGCAUACUGCCGUGAAUACGUUCCCGGGCCCUUGUACACACCGCCCGUCACACCAUGAGAGUUGGGAAUACCCGAAGCCUGUGAGCUAACUUAUAGAGGCAGCAGUCGAAGGUAGAAUCAAUGAUUGGGGUGAAGUCGUAACAAGGUACC